rnacentral:tRNA from 1 species
GCGCGUUUAGCUCAGUUUGGUAGAGCAUGGGACUUUUAAUCCUGUGGUCAGUGGUUCGAGUCCACUAACGCGCACCA